rnacentral:rRNA from 1 species
GUAGGUGGCAAGCGUUGUCCGGAAUUAUUGGGCGUAAAGCGCGCGCAGGCGGUUCUUUAAGUCUGAUGUGAAAGCCCACGGCUCGACCGUGGAGGGUCAUUGGAAACUGGAGAACUUGAGUACAGAAGAGGAAAGCGGAAUUCCACGUGUAGCGGUGAAAUGCGUAGAGAUGUGGAGGAACACCAGUGGCGAAGGCGGCUUUCUGGUCUGUAACUGACGCUGAGGCGCGAAAGCGUGGGGGAGCAAACAGGAUUAGAUACCCUGGUAGUCCACGCCGUAAACGAUGAGUGCUAAGUGUUAGGGGGUUUCCGCCCCUUAGUGCUGCAGCUAACGCAUUAAGCACUCCGCCUGGGAGUACGGCCGCAAGGCUG